UGGAGAGUUUGAUCCUGGCUCAGGACGAACGCUGGCGGCGUGCUUAACACAAUGCAAGUCGAACGGAAAGGUCUCUUCGGAGACACUCGAGUGGCGAACGGGUGAGUAACACGUGGGCAAUCUGCCCUGCACACCGGGAUAAGCCUGGGAAACUGGGUCUAAUACCGGAUAGGACCACUUGGCGCAUGCCUUGUGGUGGAAAGCUUUUGCGGUGUGGGAUGGGCCCGCGGCCUAUCAGCUUGUUGGUGGGGUGACGGCCUACCAAGGCGACGACGGGUAGCCGGCCUGAGAGGGUGUCCGGCCAGACUGGGACUGAGAUACGGCCCAGACUCCUACGGGAGGCAGCAGUGGGGAAUAUUGCACAAUGGGCGCAAGCCUGAUGCAGCGACGCCGCGUGGGGGAUGACGGCCUUCGGGUUGUAAACCUCUUUCACCAUCGACGAAGGUCCGGGUUCUCUCGGAUUGACGGUAGGUGGAGAAGAAGCACCGGCCAACUACGUGCCAGCAGCCGCGGUA
rnacentral:rRNA from 1 species